UUUAUAUGAGAGUUUGAUCCUGGCUCAGGAUGAACGCUGGCGGCGUGCCUAAUACAUGCAAGUCGAACGAGUUCUCGUUGAUGAUCGGUGCUUGCACCGAGAUUCAACAUGGAACGAGUGGCGGACGGGUGAGUAACACGUGGGUAACCUGCCCUUAAGUGGGGGAUAACAUUUGGAAACAGAUGCUAAUACCGCAUAGAUCCAAGAACCGCAUGGUUCUUGGCUGAAAGAUGGCGUAAGCUAUCGCUUUUGGAUGGACCCGCGGCGUAUUAGCUAGUUGGUGAGGUAAUGGCUCACCAAGGCGAUGAUACGUAGCCGAACUGAGAGGUUGAUCGGCCACAUUGGGACUGAGACACGGCCCAAACUCCUACGGGAGGCAGCAGUAGGGAAUCUUCCACAAUGGACGCAAGUCUGAUGGAGCAACGCCGCGUGAGUGAAGAAGGCUUUCGGGUCGUAAAACUCUGUUGUUGGAGAAGAAUGGUCGGCAGAGUAACUGUUGUCGGCGUGACGGUAUCCAACCAGAAAGCCACGGCUAACUACGUGCCAGCAGCCGCGGUAAUACGUAGGUGGCAAGCGUUAUCCGGAUUUAUUGGGCGUAAAGCGAGCGCAGGCGGUUUUUUAAGUCUGAUGUGAAAGCCCUCGGCUUAACCGAGGAAGCGCAUCGGAAACUGGGAAACUUGAGUGCAGAAGAGGACAGUGGAACUCCAUGUGUAGCGGUGAAAUGCGUAGAUAUAUGGAAGAACACCAGUGGCGAAGGCGGCUGUCUGGUCUGUAACUGACGCUGAGGCUCGAAAGCAUGGGUAGCGAACAGGAUUAGAUACCCUGGUAGUCCAUGCCGUAAACGAUGAAUGCUAGGUGUUGGAGGGUUUCCGCCCUUCAGUGCCGCAGCUAACGCAUUAAGCAUUCCGCCUGGGGAGUACGACCGCAAGGUUGAAACUCAAAGGAAUUGACGGGGGCCCGCACAAGCGGUGGAGCAUGUGGUUUAAUUCGAAGCAACGCGAAGAACCUUACCAGGUCUUGACAUCUUUUGAUCACCUGAGAGAUCAGGUUUCCCCUUCGGGGCAAAAUGACAGGUGGUGCAUGGUUGUCGUCAGCUCGUGUCGUGAGAUGUUGGGUUAAGUCCCGCAACGAGCGCAACCCUUAUGACUAGUUGCCAGCAUUUAGUUGGGCACUCUAGUAAGACUGCCGGUGACAAACCGGAGGAAGGUGGGGAUGACGUCAAAUCAUCAUGCCCCUUAUGACCUGGGCUACACACGUGCUACAAUGGAUGGUACAACGAGUUGCGAGACCGCGAGGUCAAGCUAAUCUCUUAAAGCCAUUCUCAGUUCGGACUGUAGGCUGCAACUCGCCUACACGAAGUCGGAAUCGCUAGUAAUCGCGGAUCAGCACGCCGCGGUGAAUACGUUCCCGGGCCUUGUACACACCGCCCGUCACACCAUGAGAGUUUGUAACACCCGAAGCCGGUGGCGUAACCCUUUUAGGGAGCGAGCCGUCUAAGGUGGGACAAAUGAUUAGGGUGAAGUCGUAACAAGGUAGCCGUAGGAGAACCUGCGGCUGGAUCACCUCCUUUCUAAGGAA
rnacentral:rRNA from 2 species